UUUCCAACUCUGUCCCUUGAUAUUUAGCAUAACUGCCUCCGUACCCUUUCCUUCAAUUUUCUUUUUCUAAUGAAAUUAGGUUUAGCGGUGGUCUUCUCUUUAUCGCCGCCUCUCUCUACCUACGCCUCUUCUUGCAAUUCAUUCUCCGUCGACUUUGAAGAAGAUAUUUAUGCUUCAUCAAAUCACAGAUCCGUCAAGGAAGAAGACAACACAGAUGGAUGUUGAAAGCGAUCACAGUGGUUUCUCUAACUUUAGUUCUGACUCAAACAUCAGCGGCAGGCGUCGAACAUGUCUUUACCGAUCACGUCUCAGUUUGAUCCUCUUCUGUUUUCCUCGACGUGUUUGCUGUCGACCUCUCUUUUUUAUCUCCCUACCUCUCUCUUUAAUACCUAAUCAUGCUGGAAUACAGUAAAAUAUGAUUUACGACGCCACUACUAUUGAGAAAGCUGAUCUUCUACUGUUUAGCAGGCAAUUGAUCCAAUAACAUGCAAAUGUCUGUACAAAAUGCUCAAUCGAGAUGUAUUUCAUGAAUAAAUGGCACACUUCUACUGCGAAAGAGAAUCUAAUGAUUGUGCUAGAUGAUAAACUGAGGCAAUCAAGUGAGUUUCUUCAUUAUUGAUGUAAUGCAAUGAAUAUAUGGUUCAUUUAUAGUUCAAUAAAAGAAUUUUGAUGCAUUUUAGCGUUGGUUAUAUGAAAAUCGAAUGAGCAGCUACGGAGCAGAUAUGUGAAUAUACUUUGCAUUGGCAUUGAUGGAAAAAUUUGAAUGGGCUCAAGGUUAUAGAAAACAUUUUUGUUUGCUUUAUAUGGAUUAUAAGAAUGGUCUUGCCCGACACCCAAAAUCUUUAGCAUAUUGUUAAUUACGUUGUCCUUCAUCGGAAUUUUAAGAGCUUUUUUUUAUAAUGUAAAUUGACAGUAUCAUUGGUUACUUUGAAUCUUUCGCAGGUUGCCGGUGCGAUGUCAACAAAAAUUGAGAAGGAUUACCUUUGCCUAUAUGGAUUUUUCAAUGAAUAGUAGUAUCAAUCUGGCUGCUGAAGAGGUGCCUCCGGAACUUCCAGAGCCUUAUUUGAGUAUUAAUUUUGCUAGAGAUGGAAUGCAAAAAAAGGAUUAUUGGUUGCAGUUCAUAGUGAUGCAUGGUUGCUUGCCGUGUCCUUUUAUUUUGAGGCUAGAUUUGGAUUUGACUAACCUGAUAGGUAAUUCAUUUUCUCAUUCGACAACUUAUUUGUGUGCUACUAUGCAUCUGUUGAAUUUUUAGUCCCUUCGGAUUUUUACUAUCAAUAGGCAUGGAGACUUUGUCAUUGUUAAUUUUCAGCUUUUAUAUGUUGUCAAUGUGGAAGGAUAAUGAUUCUGAAUAAGCAAAUUCAUUAUCAGUUUUAACAAAUAUCACCAGGCUGUUAAUUAUGAGUUUUAUGUUGGCUUGCGCCUCAAUAUGAUAUUUGAAGGGAAAGACUCAUGAAAGAAGAAACAAAUAUGCCCUUAAAAGUCUGCCAAGGCAUGCAACCUGGAUUCGCUCAAGUGAUUUUGUUGAAGCUUUGCCUGAACUGAACUCUUUUGAUUCUUAAUCUGAUAAGCAACAGAUGUCUUAAUAUUAUCUUCCCAAUUGACCUGGAUUUGACAUGUUGAGAUUGAUUGUUUUCCAGGAGAAAGUACUAAUUAGUAGUAUAAUAAUUUUAAGCUUUUACUUA